CGUGUUCCCUGCAGCUCCGGCUUAGCGUAGCUGAGGGGAGUUUCGUCCGCUCAGGCGCUGCAGGGCUUCGGCUGGGACUCCCAGGUGAGAGCUCAAUCGCCUUGGAAGUCGCUGGGGUGUCGGCUUCAGGACAACACGGGGCGGCGUAAACACUGAUGGGAGCUGGGAUUCCUGACGACUCAGGCGACGUCGAGAAGAAAAGGUGGAUCCAUGGCUUGGCUUCUGUAGACUUCUUCAUCAGCGUUGACCUGGAUGGGACAGAAGAAGGUUGAUCCCUGGGUCCAGAGUCCAACCCCGCCACUGCCCUGUCUUCUUCAUGGCCAAGUUCUCACCCGUCCCAGCAGGCCUCUUGGGGGCCACUGAGAUGGGGUGUCCAUGGCAGGAGCAGGGGUCCACGACUGGAUGGGGGUGUCCACACCAGGACUGGAGGGUCUUUGGGGGGCUGGAGGCCACGGGGCAGGCAGGAGGGCUCCCAGCAUUCAGACGGGUCCACACGUCAUGGUCGUAGGCCCGCACACAGUGCACCAGGCUCUCGAUGUGGUAGAAGGUGCAGUGGUCCAGGGACCAGUCCAGCCUGCGCAGGCGCCUGACCACCAACUGGUCAGUGUAGAGUAUGCACAGGGAGCCCUGGCCAUGCUCCCGCACUUCCGGGAGGACACUCAGCAUGGUCCCUGGGAUCACCAGGAGGUCACCCAGCAGGGUCCCCCCACACAACCUCACUAAGUUACAGUAAGAAACAAAAGACACUUCCAUGCAGGAAGACGGAAAGUCACCAGCCUGAGUGCUGUCCUGAGGAAGGCAGGCUGGCAUCUGGGAACUGGAUGCUGUAUGAGGUGAAUGAGUGGCUCCCAGAUGCUAUGUCCAUGUCAUGACUUCAGAAUCUGAAAAUGGAACCUUCUUUGGAAGUAGGUCUUUGCAGGUGUAAUUGGUUACGAAUCUGGAGAGGAGGUCAUCCUGGAUUGGGGUGGCCCUAAAUCAUUGAGAGCGUCCUUCUAAGAGACACAAACACAGAGGAGAUACCAGGUGAAGAUGGAGCCAGAGGUGGGAGGGAGGGGGCCACAAGCCCAGGAACACCUGGAGCCCAAAAAACUGGAAGAGGCAGGAAGGACCCUGUGCUGGAGCCUCUGGAGAGACCGCAGCACUGGGACACCCUGACCACAGACGGCUGGUCUCCACCUGAGAGGGGACAGGCUUCCGGUGUUCAGAGCCUCUGUGUGUGGUCGUUUGCCACCGCUGCCCCAGGAAGCUCAUGCAGCUGGUGGGAAGCUCCCUGCCCUGUUCUAAAGCCUCCCUCCCAUUAGGAGGAGGCCCCUGCACCGGUGCUGUUUGCACUAACCACGAGGUUCAUGCUGAGCCUUCUGGGCACUGGCAUUUUGGAGGGGGAGGGCAGACACCGCCACAUGACCAGCCCCCCAGCUGGGUGCCAAGUCUCCAGUGAGCUUCCCUGGGGAGUUGGGGUAGGGGUGACUGUCAGGGCUCUGCCCUUUGUCACGGGGGAAGAGACACCCCAGACACCCUUGAGGAGGGAGAGGCACGAUGGGUGAGUGACCGGCUCAGGGCCCCCACUGAUGCCUCCCCACUGCACCCUGAGGCCUGUCAGAGCUGUGAGCACCCCAGCCGGUGCUGAGCCCUGGAGCCCCCCAGCAGGCCCCGCCCCUUCCUCCACCUCUAAUAGGUGGGACACCCCUUCCCCUUGUCACUUCAAGAGCACUGCAGGCCCUGCCCGCUUUGUCCUCUUCUAGUUGGUGCGACACCCCUUCUUGUCAUUCCAGGAGCACUGCAGACCUCGCCCUCUUCCUCAAUGUCUAGUAGAUGUCAUACCCCUUCUCCUUGUCACUGUAGGAGCACAGCAGACCCCGCCCCCUUCCUCCACAUCUAGUAGGUGGGACACCCCUUUUUGUCAUUCCAAGAGCACAGGAGACCCUGUACCUUCUUCCAUGUCUAGUAGGUGGGAUACCCCUUCUCCUUGUCACUCCAGGAACAGUUCUGGAGCCGAUGUGUGAGUGGUUCUGGGGUUUGCAGGCUGAGCCCCUGAUUCUGUGCCCCCUUCACCACAUGAGCACUAAGAGCAAGCUAUCUGCCCUGCUGCCUGAGUGCCCUCACCCCCACUCAGUAUUCUCAGGGAAGGAUUAGGGGCUUCUGUAGCAGCAUCUGAACCCUCCUUUAAUAGGGGUGUCCUUGUUCACAACCCUUUAACCCCAACCUUUAGCAGGAGGUAAAAAAAGUCUCUAAGGUAAAGGUUCCAGAGAAGAAUGGUAGCUACAAUCAAAACUAGAUGGAACCAGCUGGGACCAAGCUGGCAAUGAAUCUGACUUCCAACAGACAUUGUGUGUUGAUUUUACUGUAUUAUUGAUGUAGGAGAUAGAUGGGCUCUAGAUUAGACAUAACUGGCCUCCUCUUUGCAUUUCAUGGGACACAAAUAAGUGUACUUCAUUUCAUGGUGGAUACUUACAACUGUUAGCAUUUCUGAGGGAAGAGUUAAAUGGGCUAGGUAUUUACAAUCAGCCUCCUGUUUGCCCUCUGAAAUGGAAAUAACAACAGAGAGUAAAUAGCCAGUGUUUGUCUCUUGCAAACACCUUAAGGUAAUAGUCAUGGCAAGGACAAAGAGGGGGGCGCAAAAUCCUGUAUGAGUAAAGAGUUAAGGGAUCUCUGCCCACCACUCUUUUGGGACAAGGGAGACACUACGCAUGCACAGAAAGUCAUCUUAUGGGUCAAAACUCAAGAGAUAAUGCCAGGAGCAAUGAGUCUUGCUUUUCCCAGAAGACUUCACUUCAAGAUCCAUCCUAGCUGAAGAGUGAAUGUGCAACCAGGGGAGGGUCCCAGGGUAGGUCGGGUGUGGGAAAAGAAACCAGAUAAUCAGCCUGAAGGAAAACAACGACCUGGAAGAAUGGCCCCAUAUAAGUGACUUAACCAUCUCUUUACUCUGCUCCUCCUCACUAGAGGGGAUGCCCACACCCUUUCUCUGCUGUGCUUCUAUCUUAACAAGCCAUUUCUCCAUGUGCUUCCCCUUCUAUGUCUCUAAAAAAUUUAUACCUGAAUUUACAGUUUCUGUCUCUGUGAUAAAUACACUUUUCACUGUGGGCAAAGAUCCAGGGAAAAAUGGCUUCUGGCUUCUAGCCCUUGCCGAUCUGGUGGCUAGGAUUCAUGGUUCUCAUCCAGGUCUCCCAGGUUCAAUUCCUGGGCAGGGAAUUAAGAUCUCCUUUCAUGUCACCACUGGCUGCUAACUUGAUCAUUAUAUUAAGUGACACACCUACCAGUGGCCAUACCCAACGUGAAGAACCAAAAAAAGUAAAAAUGAGGUGGCCCCCUGCUAAUUCGGAAAAGCCCUGCCCUUCCCCUAAACAUACCUGCCUCCCCAGCAUUAGCCUCACUCCUCCUCCCAGUGUCUUUACUGUUUAAAAUCAAACCACUUUCUCCAGGUGGGCAAGAAGUUGAGCUGUGAACUUAGUUCCUGCUUCUCUGUUCUUUGGCGUCUGAAUAAAGCCUGUGCUGUGUUGC